rnacentral:rRNA from 1 species
AUAGCUCACUGGUCGAGUGACUCUGCGCCGAAAAUGUACCGGGGCUAAACGUAUCACCGAAGCUGUGGAUGGACACCGUAGGUGUCCGUGGUAGGAGAGCGUUCUAAGGGCGGUGAAGCUAGACCGGAAGGACUAGUGGAGCGCUUAGAAGUGAGAAUGCCGGUAUGAGUAGCGAAAGAAGGGUGAGAAUCCCUUCCACCGAAUGCCUAAGGUUUCCUGAGGAAGGCUCGUCCGCUCAGGGUUAGUCGGGACCUAAGCCGAGGCCGAAAGGCGUAGGCGAUGGACAACAGGUUGAUAUUCCUGUACCACCUCUUCACCGUUUGAACGAUGGGGGGACGCAGGAGGAUAGGGUAAGCGCACUGCUGGUUAUGUGCGUCUAAGCAGUUAGGCUGGUUACGAGGCAAAUCCCGUAACCGUGAAGGCGGAGCUGUGAUAGCGAGGGAAAUAUAGUACCGAAGUUCCUGAUUCCACACUGCCAAGAAAAUCCUCUAGUGAGGUGAAAGGUGCCCGUACCGCAAACCGACACAGGUAGGCGAGGAGAGAAUCCUAAGGUGAGCGAGAGAACUCUCGUUAAGGAACUCGGCAAAAUGACCCCGUAACUUCGGGAGAAGGGGUGCUCUGGUAGGGUGCAAGCCCGAGAGAGCCGCAGUGAAUAGGCCCAGGCGACUGUUUAGCAAAAACACAGGUCUCUGCGAAGCCGCAAGGCGAAGUAUAGGGGCUGACGCCUGCCCGGUGCUGGAAGGUUAAGAGGAGGGGUUAGCGUAAGCGAAGCUCUGAAUUGAAGCCCCAGUAAACGGCGGCCGUAACUAUAACGGUC